rnacentral:rRNA from 1 species
CCUACGUGAGGCAGCAGUGAGGAAUAUUGGUCAAUGGGCGGAAGCCUGAACCAGCCAAGUAGCGUGCAGGAUGACGGCCCUACGGGUUGUAAACUGCUUUUAUACGGGAAUAACGCGCCUUACGUGUAGGGCUUUGCAUGUACCGUAUGAAUAAGGACCGGCUAAUUCCGUGCCAGCAGCCGCGGUAAUACGGAAGGUCCGGGCGUUAUCCGGAUUUAUUGGGUUUAAAGGGAGCGUAGGCCGCAUGUCAAGCGUGCUGUGAAAUGUCCGGGCUCAACCCGGGACUUGCAGCGCGAACUGGCGAGCGUGAGUCCGCGGAAGGCAGGCGGAAUUCGUGGUGUAGCGGUGAAAUGCUUAGAUAUGACGAAGAACCCCGAUUGCGAAGGCAGCUUGCUGCAGCGGAACUGACGCUGAUGCUCGAAAGCGCGGGUAUCGAACAGGAUUAGAUACCCUGGUAGUC